GGGAGGCCUCAGGAUUGUGGGUUUAAAGCCAGAAAGGGACAUUCUGUGGUGCCCGAACUCCGCCACCGUGCCCGGCCAGGACCCGGAAGCCCAGAGACAUUUAGAUUUUCUCCUCAGCCACACAGCUGGCAAGGUAGCACCAAGGACAGCGGGCUUCAUGAUGACAUAUCCCAGAGUGCACGUGGUGAUCCAGACGGACAAAUCUGAUGGCCAUCAGUAAAGAAAAGGCUAAUGUUAUGGUUCACGAUCGCAAUGGAAUAGGAUUGUUGUGCUGUAGAGACUGAGGGAUGUGAUGAACAUAGAAGUCUGGGAAGACUUACCUGAACGGAUGCAGGGUGAUGUCAGUAAAGCCAGAGAAACACCAGAUACGAGCACCACAACCAUUCGGCUAGAAUAACUACAAAUCAGUUGAAAGUGAAUGCUGGGAAAUAGGGAUGAACAAAUCUGACUUCAAAGAGUAGAGAUUCAGAGUCCAGGUCUAUGAGUGUGGAACCCUGAUUAGAACGUUAGAUUAUUUUUUUCUGACUCUAAAGAAUACAGAUGAAAAAAUCCCCCUGCUCCUUUGCAGAGUCCAGAUCUACGAGUGUGGAACCCUGAUUAGAACGUUAGAUUAUUAUUUUUUCUGACUCCAAAGGAUAGAGAUGAAAAGAUCUCCCUGCUCCUUUGCAGAGUCCAGGUCUAUGAGUGUGGAGCCCUGAUUAGAACGUUAGAUUAUUUUUUUAUGUGUUGAUCAUUUUUCUGACUUUUUUCCCUCCUACUUUUUUCUUUAAAAAAAAAAAAAAUUUCUUUGUUACAAGCGAUUGCUCUCCAGGAGGGAUGAGGCAAGAAUAGGUGGGAAAUCUAAGCAAUGCAAAAGAAAAUAUAUGGAUAACAAUUGAUUUCAUAAAACUCCAGACCUAAACGGGGCAAUUUUGUUUCUUCAUUGUGAAUUGUAUUAUUAUGCCAUCAAAUUAAUCUAUAAAAAUACAU